GAUGAACGCUAGCGGCAGGCCUAACACAUGUAAGUCGAGGGGCAUCAUGGCGUAGCAAUACGCUGAUGGCGACCGGCGCACGGGUGCGUAACGCGUAUGGAACCUACCCACCGCAGGGGGAUAACCCGCCGAAAGGCGGACUAAUACCCCAUGGUUCCCCGACCCUGCCUGGGGUUGGGGGUAAAGCCUACGGGCGGCGGUGGAUGGCCCUGCGUGCCAUUAGCUGGCUGGUGGGGUAAAGGCCUACCAAGGCGACGAUCAGUAGCUGGUCUGAGAGGACGACCAGCCACACUGGGACUGAGACACGGCCCAGACUCCUACGGGAGGCAGCAGUGGGGAAUUUUGGACAAUGGGCGAAAGCCUGAUCCAGCCAUGCCGCGUGAGUGAAGAAGGCCCUCGGGUUGUAAAGCUCUUUUGUCCGGAAAGAAAAGCGCCGGGUUAAUACCCUGGUGUCCUGACGGUACCGGAAGAAUAAGCACCGGCUAACUUCGUGCCAGCAGCCGCGGUAAGCAUACUCGUA
rnacentral:rRNA from 1 species